UACAGAGGUCUCAAGCGUUGUUCGGAUUCAUUGGGCGUAAAGGGUGCGUAGGUGGCGCUGUAAGUCGGGUGUGAAAUUUCGGAGCUUAACUCCGAAACUGCAUUCGAUACUGCGGUGCUUGAGGACUGGAGAGGAGACUGGAAUUCAUGGUGUAGCAGUGAAAUGCGUAGAGAUCAAUGAGGAAGACCAGUGGCGAAGGCGGGUCUCUGGACAGUUCCUGACACUGAGGCACGAAGGCCAGGGGAGCAAACGGG
rnacentral:rRNA from 1 species